rnacentral:rRNA from 1 species
UGGGGGAUAUUGCACAAUGGGCGAAAGCCUGAUGCAGCGACGCCGCGUGGGGGAUGAAGGCCUUCGGGUUGUAAACUUCUUUUGCUCUGAACAAGGCGCACCAUGGGGUGUGUUGAGUGUAGGGGUUGAUUAGCGCCGGCUAACUACGUGCCAGCAGCCGCGGUAAUACGUAGGGCGCGAGCGUUGUCCGGAAUUAUUGGGCGUAAAGGGCUUGUAGGUGGCUGGUUGCGUCUGUCGUGAAAGCUCAUGGCUUAACUGUGGGUUUGCGGUGGGUACGGGCUGGCUUGAGUGCAGUAGGUGAGGCUGGAAUUCCUGGUGUAGCGGUGGAAUGCGCAGAUAUCAGGAGGAAUACCGGUGGCGAAGGCGGGUCUCUGGGCUGUUACUGACACUGAGGAGCGAAAGCAAGGGGAGCGAACAGG